GGUAGGAUGGCUGAGAUAAGUGGCGGAUUGUAGCUCCGUAGAGAGAGGUUAAAAUCCUCUUCUUACCA
rnacentral:tRNA from 1 species